rnacentral:rRNA from 1 species
UAUGAUGGAGCGCGGCAUACGGCUCAGUAACAUGUGGUUAACCUACCCUCAGGAUGGGGACAACCCCGGGAAACUGGGACUAAUACCCAAUAGAUGGAAGCGCCUGGAAUGGUCUUCCAUCCAAAAGACGUUAGGGGCACGCUCCUUAACGCCGCCUGAGGAUGGGACCGCACCUGAUCAGGUAGUUGGUGGGGCAAUGGCCCACCAAGCCUAUAACCAGUACGGGCCCUGAGAGGGGUAGCCCGGAGAUGGGGACUGAGACAAGGCCCCAGGUCCUACGGGGCGCAGCAGGCGCGAAAACUCCACAAUAUGCGCAAGCAUGAUGGGUUACUCCGAGUGCCAUCCGCCGAGGAUGGCUUUUGUUCAGUUUAAGGAGCUGGAUGAAUAAGGGGAGGGCAAGACUGGUGUCAGCCGCCGCGGUAAUACCAGCUCCCCGAGUGGUGGGGACGAUUAUUUGGCCUAAAGCGUCCGUAACCGGCCAAGUAAGUCUUCGGUUAAAUUCGGUGAUUUAAUCAUCGAACUGCCGGAGAUACUGCUAGGCUAGGGGGCGGGAGAAGCCGACGGUAGUCUAGGGGUAGGGGUGAAAUCCUAUAAUCCCUGGAGGACCACCAGUGGCGAAGGCGGUCGGCUAGAACGCGCCCGACGGUGAGGGACGAAAGCUGGGGGAGCGAACCGGAUUAGAUACCCGGGUAGUCCCAGCUGUAAACGAUGCAGGCUAGGUGUUGGAACGGCUACGAGCCGUCCCAGUGCCGCAGGGAAGCUAUUAAGCCUGCCGCCUGGGGAGUACGGUCGCAAGGCUGAAACUUAAAGGAAUUGGCGGGGGAGCACCACAAGGGGUGAAGCCUGCGGUUUAAUUGGAGUCAACGCCGGAAAACUUACCGGGGGAGACAGCAGAAUGAAGGUCAGAUUAAAGGUCUUACCAGACAAGCUGAGAGGAGGCGCAUGGCCGUCGCCAGUUCGUGCCGUGAGGUGUCCUGUUAAGUCAGGCAACGAACAAGACCCCUACUCUUAGUUGCUACUAGGGAAACCUAGGCACACUAAGAGGACCGCCGUCGAUAAGGCGGAGGAAGGCAGGGGCCACGGCAGGUCAGUAUGCCCCGAAUCCUCCGGGCCACACGCGGGCUGCAAUGGCUGGGACAAUGGGCUCCAACCCCGAAAGGGGAAGGUAAUCUCGAAACCCAGCCGCAGUUGGAAUCGAGGGCUGAAACCCGCCCUCGU